rnacentral:rRNA from 1 species
GGGGGGGGGGGGGGGGGGGGGGGGGGGGGGGGGGGGGGGGGGGGGCGGGGGGGGGGGUGGCUCGAGCGGGGGGGGAGCGGCGGGCGGGGGCGGGAUACAGCGGCAUCUACCUUGUGGUGGGGGCGAAGGGAGGGAGACGUGGGCGAAUACCGCCUUAGUGCUCCGGGUGAACGACGGGGCUCUUCGGACCUUGCACCAUCGCAUGGACCGAUGUCGGAUUAGCUAGUUGGCGGGGCAAAGGCCCACCAAGGCGACGAUCCGUAGCUGGUCUGAGAGGAUGAUCAGCCACACUGGAACUGAGACACGGUCCAGACUCCUACGGGAGGCAGCAGUGGGGAAUAUUGGACAAUGGGCGCAAGCCUGAUCCAGCCAUACCGCGUGGGUGAAGAAGGCCUUCGGGUUGUAAAGCCCUUUUGUUGGGAAAGAAAAGCAGCAGGUUAAUACCCCGCUGUUCUGACGGUACCCAAAGAAUAAGCACCGGCUAACUUCGUG